UACGUAGGGGGCAAGCGUUGUCCGAUUUAUUGGGCGUAAAGAGCGUGUAGGCGGUCAGGUAGGUCCGUUGUGAAAACUCGAGGCUCAACCUCGAGACGCCGAUGGAAACCAUCUGACUAGAGUCCGGAAGAGGAGAGUGGAAUUCCUGGUGUAGCGGUGAAAUGCGCAGAUAUCAGGAGGAACACCGGUGGCGAAGGCGGGUCUCUGGGCCGAAAUUGACGCUGAGGAGCGAAAGCGUGGGGAGCGAACAGG
rnacentral:rRNA from 1 species